AGGCAACUCCCUUGCGCUCAUUUUGUUUAGCGAAGGCGGGUGUUAAUCUGCUCGUAUAUAGAUGCUUGAGCUCUUCAGACUUGCUGAUAUCCCCGUGAAGCUUGUCUAGUAAGCUCAAGAACAUA
rnacentral:snoRNA from 1 species